rnacentral:tRNA from 1 species
GCCUGGGUGGCUCAGUGGGUUAAAGCCUCUGCCUUCGGCUCAGGUCAUGAUCCCAGGGUUGUGGGAUCGAGCCCCACAUCGGGCU